rnacentral:rRNA from 1 species
UACAGAGGGUGCGAGCGUUAAUCGGAAUUACUGGGCGUAAAGCGCGCGUAGGCGGCUUUGCAAGUCGGGUGUGAAAUCCCCAGGCUUAACCUGGGAACUGCAUUCGAGACUGCAUUGCUAGAGUAUGGGAGAGGGAAGUGGAAUUUCCGGUGUAAGCGGUGAAAUGCGUAGAUAUCGGAAGGAACAUCAGUGGCGAAAGCGACUUCCUGGACCAAUACUGACGCUCAUGUGCGAAAGCGUGGGGGGAGCAAAACAGG